rnacentral:rRNA from 1 species
GAUGAACGCUAGCUACAGGCUUAACACAUGCAAGUCGAGGGGAAACGACAUCGAAAGCUUGCUUUUGAUGGGCGUCGACCGGCGCACGGGUGAGUAACGCGUAUCCAACCUGCCCACCACUUGGGGAUAACCUUGCGAAAGUAAGACUAAUACCCGAUGAUAUCCCUAGACGACAUCUGAAAGGGAUUAAAGAUUUAUCGGUGAUGGAUGGGGAUGCGUCUGAUUAGCUUGUUGGCGGGGUAACGGCCCACCAAGGCAACGAUCAGUAGGGGUUCUGAGAGGAAGGUCCCCCACAUUGGAACUGAGACACGGUCCAAAACUCCUACGGGAGGCAGCAGUGAGGAAUAUUGGUCAAUGGGCGAGAGCCUGAACCAGCCAAGUAGCGUGCAGGACGACGGCCCUAUGGGUUGUAAACUGCUUUUAUAAGGGAAUAAAGUGAGUCUCGUGAGACUUUUUGCAUGUACCUUAUGAAUAAGGACCGGCUAAUUCCGUG